rnacentral:misc_RNA from 1 species
GAUGAAGAACGUAGCGAAAUGCGAUAAGUAAUGUGAAUUGCAGAAUUCAGUGAAUCAUCGAAUCUUUGAACGCACAUUGCGCCCGCCAGUAUUCUGGCGGGCAUGCCUGUUCGAGCGUCAUUUCAACCAUCAAGCCCUGCUUGCGUUGGGGUCCUGCGGCUGCCCGCAGGCCCUGAAAACCAGUGGCGGGCUCGCUAGUCACACCGAGCGCAGUAAUACAUCUCGCUUUGGGCGUGCGGCGGGUUCUUGCCGUUAAACACCCCCUUUUUAUCAAGGUUGACCUCGGAUCAGGUAGGAAUACCCGCUGAACUUAAGCAUAUCAAUAAGCGGAGGA